rnacentral:rRNA from 1 species
AGUCGCAUGCCCAAGACCCGAAGCGGAGUGAUCUAGCCAUGGGCAGGUUGAAGCGUGGGUAAGACCGCGUGGAGGACCGAACCCACCAGGGUUGAAAACCUGGGGGAUGACCUGUGGUUAGGGGUGAAAGGCCAAUCAAACUCCGUGAUAGCUGGUUCUCCCCGAAAUGCAUUUAGGUGCAGCGUCGUGUGUUUCUUGCCGGAGGUAGAGCACUGGAUAGGCGAUGGGCCCUACCGGGUUACUGACCUUAGCCAAACUCCGAAUGCCGGUAAGUGAGAGCGCGGCAGUGAGACUGCGGGGGAUAAGCUCCGUGGUCGAGAGGGAAACAGCCCAGAGCAUCGACUAAGGCCCCUAAGCGUACGCUAAGUGGGAAAGGAUGUGGAGUCGCACAGACAACCAGGAGGUUGGCUUAGAAGCAGCCACCCUUGAAAGAGUGCGUAAUAGCUCACUGGUCAAGUGAUUCCGCGCCGACAAUGUAGCGGGGCUCAAGCGUACCGCCGAAGUCGUGUCAUUGCAGCAUUACUCCCAACGGAGGCUGUGAUGGGUAGGGGAGCGUCGUGUGCCGGGUGAAGCGGCCCUGGAAGGGAGUCGUGGACGGUUCACGAGUGAGAAUGCAGGCAUGAGUAGCGAUACAAGAGUGGGAAACUCUUGCGCCGAUUGACUAAGGGUUCCUGGGUCAAGCUGAUCUGCCCAGGGUAAGUCGGGACCUAAGGCGAGGCCGACAGGCGUAGUCGAUGGACAACCGGUUGAUAUUCCGGUACCCGCUUUGAAGCGCCAGCGCUGAACCCUCUGAUGCUAAGCCCGUGAAGCCGCCCUUGAUCUCUUCGGAGUGAUGGGGAGUGGUGGAGCCGGUGACCCGAGGUGGUAGUAGGUGAGCGAUGGGGUGACGCAGGAAGGUAGUCCAGCCCGGGCGGUGGUUGUCCCGGGGUAAGGGUGUAGGCCGAGUGGUAGGCAAAUCCGCCACUCAUGGAGGCUGAGACCUGAUGCCGAGCCGAUUGUGGUGAAGUGGAUGAUCCUAUGCUGUCGAGAAAAGCCUCUAGCGAGUUUCAUGGCGGCCCGUACCCUAAACCGACUCAGGUGGUCAGGUAGAGAAUACCGAGGCGUUCGGGUGAACUAUGGUUAAGGAACUCGGCAAAAUGCCCCCGUAACUUCGGGAGAAGGGGGGCCAUUGCUGGUGAGGGGAUUU